CCUACGGGACGCAGCAGUGGGGAAUAUUGCACAAUGGGCGCAAGCCUGAUGAAGCGACGCCGCGUGCGGGAUGGAGGCCUUCGGGUUGUAAACCGCUUUUGUUCAAGGGCAAGGCACGGUCUUUGGCCGUGUUGAGUGGAUUGUUCGAAUAAGCACCGGCUAACUACGUGCCAGCAGCCGCGGUAAUACGUAGGGUGCAAGCGUUAUCCGGAUUUAUUGGGCGUAAAGGGCUCGUAGGCGGUUCGUCGCGUCCGUUGUGACAUUCCAUCGCUUAACGGUGGAUCCGCUCCUGGUCCGGUCGGGCU
rnacentral:rRNA from 1 species